UUUUGUUUGGUUUAGAUAAAUUUGGUUUGGGUUGUUGGAUGAUAUGGGUUUGAUAGGUUUGGAUUUUAUGCUCUUGGGCUUUGAUGGUUUUAUUUAUGGACUAGAUUGGAUUGGAUUUUAUUUGUGGACUUUAGGUUUUGGAUUUUAUUUCUGGAUUUGGGUUUUAGGUUUUAUUUGUGGACUUUGGGUCUAGGGUUCAUUUGUAGAUUUUGGAUUUUAAGUUUUAGUUGUGGAUUUUGGAUUUUGGGUUUUAUUUAUGGAUUUUGGGUUUUGGGUUUUAUCUGUGAACUUUAGGUUUUGGAUCUUAUUUGUGAACUGAAAUGGAUUAUGGGUCUUGUUUGUGAACUGAAAUGGAUUUAGGGUCUUAUGAGCUUUGG
rnacentral:lncRNA from 1 species